rnacentral:tRNA from 1 species
AGGUCUGUAGCUCAGUUGGUUAGAGCGCACCCCUGAUAAGGGUGAGGUCGGCAGUUCAAAUCUACCCAGACCUA